CACCACUCAAGCCCGGCUUGGUAUUGGGCGUCGCGGUGUCCGCGCGCCUCAAAGUCUCCGGCCGAGCCGUCCGUCUCUAAGCGUUGUGAUGUGUAUUCGCUUCGGAGUGCGGGCGGCCGCGGCCGUUAAACUUCCAUCAAG
rnacentral:misc_RNA from 1 species